UCUUCUUCCCCUUCUGUAGCAGCCACCAACCCUCCCCCUCCCCCCCUCUUCUUUUUCCUCUCCAAUAGUCCUCGCCAGCGACACCAACAGUGACCCAAUCCAGCAGUGACUGCAACGCGUGUUUUGGACGGGUUCUCGACGUCCUCCGGCCUUCGACUCCCAGAUCCGGUGCUCCUCCGACUCUCUCUCAGAUCCGACGCUCUUGCACAAACCCAGCGGCUGGUGACCCGAUUGGUUGGUCUUCAGCGGCGAAGCAGCUCUCCAACAACCCAGAUCCGGCGAAGCACGACUUCUUCGGCCAGACCCGAUUGGUAGCACAAUAUUUCCAUGGAUUGUAACACUACAAGCCUCAGAGUCUUUCAUAUGUGAUGCUCCAAAGCAAGUGUAGGUGCAUUCUUCUUCUCCCAACUUGUGCAUCACUCUCAAUUGAAGGUGAUGUACAUACAUCACACUAAAGAAGAUCAUGGAGGGAGACUAUCAGAGUUGGGGAGAGGGGAGAAAAGGAGACAGUAGAAAUCCGACAAGGAAGAAAGAAGAUCUUAUUAGGCGAGGGAACAACGGUGGGGCAAUGCGGUGAAGGACUCGAGGGUGACCAUGGUGAUGGGACRGAGGAGACCUGACAAGCGAGGACUAUAGGCUGCUUAGUUUUUCUUAUUUAGUCUAAUUCUUUUGUUASGGCCUUAUGUUGUGGCCAAUAAACGGUUUAUGUACCUUUGAAUAAUUGGGAGAUUUUUCCCUUGUUGKUAGUUAUGCUUCGGGUUAGGUGCCUAUUUGAGCUUUAUUCCAUUUGUUUAGAUUCAUUUAGAUUGAAUAAUAAACUUGCCUCGUGAAGUAGUUCACGAAUGUUGUUGCA